rnacentral:misc_RNA from 1 species
GAUGAAGAACGUAGCGAAAUGCGAUAAGUAAUGUGAAUUGCAGAAUUCAGUGAAUCAUCGAAUCUUUGAACGCACAUAGCGCCCCCUGGUAUUCCGGGGGGCAUGCCUGUUCGAGCGUCAUUUCACCACUCAAGCCUCGCUUGGUAUUGGGCAACGCGGUCCGCCGCGUGCCUCAAAUCGACCGGCUGGGUCUUCUGUCCCCUAAGCGUUGUGGAAACUAUUCGCUAAAGGGUGUUCGGGAGGCUACGCCGUAAAACAACCCCAUUUCUAAGGUUGACCUCGGAUCAGGUAGGGAUACCCGCUGAACUUAAGCAUAUCAAUAAGCGGAGGA